UACGAAGGGGGCUAGCGUUGCUCGGAAUUACUGGGCGUAAAGCGCACGUAGGCGGUCUUUUAAGUCGGGGGUGAAAUCCUGGAGCUCAACUCCAGAACUCGCCUUUGAUACUGGCGAGCUUGAGUUCGGGAGAGGUGAGUGGAACUGCGAGUGUAGAGGUGAAAUUCGUAGAUAUCCGCAAGAACACCAGUGGCGAAGGCGGCUCACUGGCCCGAUACUGACGCUGAGGUGCGAAAGCGUGGGGAGCAAACAGG
rnacentral:rRNA from 1 species